UAUCAAAUUGAAGAAUAACGAAUGGAAGUUUCAUUACUUUUACCGAUAAUUGAGAAAGAAGAUUUCAAUCAUUCUACAAUUCUUUUGAAGUUUUUUUCACGUUCGUCUCAAAUAUCAUAUAAAUUUCACCAUCAAAUGAAUUUCCAAAGAAGAAUCAAGAAUAUAAUUCAACAUGACACGAUACAAAAUAAACGUUAGACGAGUUGAUUUUCGACUUGGAUGCUGCAAGUAAAUUUCCAAUAAUUUCAAAAAAUAAUCAAGAAUGAUAAAACGUAAGUGAAUUAACCUUCGGUUUGGAAGAAAUCGAAAACGAAUAUUAUUGCAAGUAAGAAUAGCGGAUUAUAUAAAUGAGCUGGCUUUCGGUUUGGAAGAAAUCGAAGACGAAGAUUGCCCAUUGUCGCGCGAUGCUUGCGAUAAUUGGAGGAAAGAAGCGGGAAUAAAGUGGAGCGUGGACGAGUUGACUUUCGUGUUGGAAAAAAAUCGAUCGAUCGGAAAUUCCCGGAAGCGGAAACUCGUUCCACGCGCGAGCUCGCGGUACGGCUCGACAAUUAACUCUCUGCCGGAUUUUCCACCAAUUUCCUGGCUGAAUUAAUCACCGCUGGCCGGUAUCAACGCUCGAAAUUUGGAGCGGCGCCGCUUAAACGCGAUCCGGAGACGUAAUUGCAACGAGCCGGAUAGAUUAUGCGACUGUUCUCUCUUAUGGACUUCCUUCUUAUGGACUCUUCAACAAUUUUGAAAGGGAAUGAACGCAGAGAUGAAUGGAGAGACUGAUGAAGAUUCAAACUCGAAGAGCUUGUUGCUUCUCUCGUUGAGGAAUUUUUGAAAAAGAGGAUCCUGUUAUAAUAAAUGGAUUCAUCCCCACAUCAAAAGAAUGAUGAUCCAAUGUUUGGGAAUGAACGCAGAGACUGAAUGGAGAGACUGAUGAAGAUUCGAACUCGAAGAGCUUGUUGAGGAAUUUUUGAAAAAGUUGAUAAAAGGAGGAUCCUGUUAUAAUAAAUGGAUUCAUCCCCACAUCAAAAGAAUGAUGAUCCAAUGUUUGGGAAUGAACGCAGAGAUGAAUGGAGAGACUGAUGAAGAUUCGAAGAGCUUGUUGAGGAAUUUUUGAAAAAGUUGAUAAAAGGUACAAAAUAUUCUUAAUCUCAAAAGUUUCGUCCAAUCUCGUUAUUAAACUUGGAUUUUAAUUUUUAUAAACAGG